GUUACAAAGUUCAGGCACAGAGGAUGGACAGUAUAACACAGUUACAAAGUUCAGGCACAGAGGAUGGACAGUAUAACACAGUUACAAAGUUCAGGCACAGAGGAUGGACAGUAUAACACAGUUACAAAGUUCAGGCACCGAGGAUAGACAGUAUAACACAGUUACAAAGUUCAGGCACAGAGGAUGGACAGUAUAACACAGUUACAAAGUUCAGGCACAGAGGAUGGACAGUAUAACACAGUUACAAAGUUCAGGCACAGAGGAUAGACAGUAUAACACA